rnacentral:rRNA from 1 species
AUACUGGUGGCGAGUGGCGAACGGGUGAGUAAUAUAUCGGAACGUGCCCAGUCGUGGGGGAUAACGUAGCGAAAGCUACGCUAAUACCGCAUACGAUCUACGGAUGAAAGCGGGGGAUCGCAAGACCUCGCGCGAUUGGAGCGGCCGAUAUCAGAUUAGGUAGUUGGUGAGGUAGAGGCUCACCAAGCCGACGAUCUGUAGCUGGUCUGAGAGGACGACCAGCCACACUGGGACUGAGACACGGCCCCAGACUCCUACGGGAGGCAGCAGUGGGGAAUUUUGGACAAUGGGCGCAAGCCUGAUCCAGCAAUGCCGCGUGCAGGAUGAAGGCCUUCGGGUUGUAAACUGCUUUUGUACGGAACGAAACGGUGAGCUCUAAUACAGUUUGCUAAUGACGGUACCGUAAGAAUAAGCACCGGCUAACUACGUG